UAAUCUCUUCCAUAAAUUACCAAAAUACCCUUUUAAUGACAAAAUUUCAAUUUCUCUUUUAACCUUUAAACUAUUUUGAUUUAUUAAAAUAUUUUGUUUGUAUAUAUUAGUUGAUGUCAGGAUAUACCAAAUAAAAUGACACUAAUGAUAAACUUCUUUAACAAAAUUAAUAUAGUGAUGAUAUUAACUUUUUAUUUUAUGAAUAAAAAUU
rnacentral:lncRNA from 1 species